CGCAGGCGCCACCCCUGGUCCUCAGACGUCCUCUGCCACUUGAAGCCUCUCAGGAGGAUAGUACUUCUGCAGCCGGAUUUGCUGAGCGCCCUCGAGCAGGGGCAACUUCGCCUCUGCGACAGUGCAGGACGCCUGGACGCCCACUCAGCUCUCCGAGAGGGCCACCCCGGGUGUGGGAGCCCCUCCAGCUCCUGCUCUGCGACUCCCUCUGGCUCCCCCCGGGAGCUCUGCUGGGUCGUCUUCCCCACUCUCUGGCUCCUAUGGCUCUUUGGUUUCCCUCCUCGGGUGACCAGGACCACCUCGUGGGACCAGACAGGACAAAUCUAAACGCCAAAUGAUGAAGAUAUCCAAGAAGUCAGCUCUUCAAUAUCAGGCCCGGCACGAAGUCAUAAGAACAGGAGUGAGAGAAAAAGACCAAAGGGAUGCAGAGAUCCUUGAAAUUUCCAUUUCAAGGAAGAAUGAAGAGUCAAGCCACUUGGGCAGUGCCUACUGUGUGUUACAGCAACCCACUGAACACUGGCAAGGGGUCCUGGCCAGACCGGAAGUGAAUGGCGCCUUGGCUCUCACUGCUGCUUGGUGCCGUUAACCAGGUGACAGUGAGCAACCCUUCUUGGAUCCUCAGUUUUCUUUACACAGUGCAAUGAUUAAACUUCUAGCGCCACACUGAGCCAUUGAAGUAUGACACAUAAGGGAAAAAAAUUACAGAAAAUCUCCUUUUAAACUUUUGAUGUUAGGGCUGAGCACGUAGCCUGCUUGGCAAACACAAGGUCCUGAGUUCAAUCCCCAGUACCGGAAAGAAAAAAAAAGUUAAAAUUUUGAUACUGUAUUUGUUGUGCAUACUUUGCAUAAAUU